rnacentral:rRNA from 1 species
GACAGAGGUUGCAAACGUUGUUCGGAAUCACUGGGCAUAAAGCGCACGUAGGCGGUCUGUUAAGUCAGGUGUGAAAGCCCCCGGCUCAACCGGGGAAUUGCAUUUGAUACUGGCAGGCUCGAGAACGGUAGGGAUGAGUGGAACUCCAGGUGGAGCGGUGAAAUGCGUAGAUAUCUGGAGGAACACCGGUGGCGAAAGCGGCUCACUGGACCGUCACUGACGCUGAGGUACGAAAGCUAGGAUAGCAAACGGG